GACGAACGCUGGCGGCGUGCCUAAUACAUGCAAGUCGAACGCACUGACGUCGACCGAAGCUGCUUGCAGUGGACGUUGAUUGACGUGAGUGGCGGACGGGUGAGUAACACGUGGGUAACCUACCCUUAAGUGGGGGAUAACAUUUGGAAACAGAUGCUAAUACCGCAUAACCAUUCAGACCACAUGGCCUGAAUGUAAAAGACGGCCUUUGGCUGUCACUUUUGGACGGACCCGCGGCGUAUUAGUUAGUUGGUAAGGUAACGGCUUACCAAGACAAUGAUACGUAGCCGACCUGAGAGGGUAAUCGGCCACAUUGGGACUGAGACACGGCCCAAACUCCUACGGGAGGCAGCAGUAGGGAAUCUUCCACAAUGGACGAAAGUCUGAUGGAGCAACGCCGCGUGAGUGAAGAAGGUUUUAGGAUCGUAAAACUCUGUUGUUGGAGAAGAACAGGGACUAGAGUAACUGUUAGUCCUUUGACGGUAUCCAACCAGAAAGCCACGGCUAACUACGUGCCAGCAGCCGCGGUAAUACGUAGGUGGCAAGCGUUGUCCGGAUUUAUUGGGCGUAAAGCGAGCGCAGGCGGUUUUUUAAGUCUGAUGUGAAAGCCUUCGGCUUAACCGAAGAAGUGCAUUAGAAACUGGGAAACUUGAGUGCAGAAGAGGACAGUGGAACUCCAUGUGUAGUGGUGAAAUGCGUAGAUAUAUGGAAGAACACCAGUGGCGAAGGCGGCUGUCUGGUCUGUAACUGACGCUGAGGCUCGAAAGUAUGGGGAGCGAACAGGAUUAGAUACCCUGGUAGUCCAUACCGUAAACGAUGAAUGCUAAGUGUUGGAGGGUUUCCGCCCUUCAGUGCUGCAGCUAACGCAUUAAGCAUUCCGCCUGGGGAGUACGACCGCAAGGUUGAAACUCAAAGGAAUUGACGGGGGCCCGCCAAGCGGUGGAGCAUGUGGUUUAAUUCGAAGCAACGCGAAGAACCUUACCAGGUCUUGACAUCCUUUGACCACUGUAGAGAUACAGCUUUCCCUUCGGGGACAAAGUGACAGGUGGUGCAUGGUUGUCGUCAGCUCGUGUCGUGAGAUGUUGGGUUAAGUCCCGCAACGAGCGCAACUCUUAUGACUAGUUGCCAGCAUUUAGUUGGGCACUCUAGUAAGACUGCCGGUGACAAACCGGAGGAAGGUGGGGAUGACGUCAAAUCAGCAUGCCCCUUAUGACCUGGGCUACACACGUGCUACAAUGGUCGGUACAACGAGUUGCGAACCCGCGAGGGUAAGCUAAUCUCUUAAAGCCGAUCUCAGUUCGGAUUGUAGGCUGCAACUCGCCUACAUGAAGCCGGAAUCGCUAGUAAUCGCGGAUCAGCACGCCGCGGUGAAUACGUUCCCGGGCCUUGUACACACCGCCCGUCACACCAUGAGAGUUUGUAACACCCGAAGUCGGUGGGGUAACCCUUUUAGGGAACUAGCCGCCUAAGGUGGGACAGAUGAUUGGGGUG
rnacentral:rRNA from 1 species